rnacentral:misc_RNA from 1 species
UAAGGCUGCGUCAAAACAGUAUGGGCAGCCCUCUCCCAGCGUGUAAAGCUUUCUGCUAGGUCUUGUUUAGUUUUGUUUGCUACAACUGAUUACUGGGCCAUUCUAACCUCAAACUGGUUGUGUGUUUACGUUGCCCUACCACGUGAGAGAACAAGUUAAUUUAAUUUAUUAAGUGGAGUUAGGAUCAUCGAAGAAUAAAUUCUUAUGUAUAAUAUUUUGAAUGCGCUGAGAAAAUGAAUCCAGAAUGUGAGUUGGUACACCAUCCUGACCUAAAGCUUUAUCAGUUAAAAAAUGUAUUGCCUGAUGGUAUAAUCAAGGACCUUUCAAAACAAACACGAAAUUUAACCCUCUAUCUCGCACAGAAUGAUCUCCAUUGUUUCCGACACAGUGAAGACUUCUCAGUUCUGUCUGAAUUACCAGAUACGGUAAGAAAUUUUGUAAAAUUUAUGGAAACCACCAUGAGAAAAAAAGUGGAAAUGCUGUACGGUGUAAAGACAAAACAACAAAUAUCAAUGACAACUUCAUUGUACGGCAGAGGAGAUUUUCUUCUCUGUCAUGAUGAUCUCUGGGAGGACCGUCAGAUUGCAUUUGUACUCUAUCUGAGUGAAGAUAUUUGUGAACAGGAUGGAGGAUCUUUGAGAUUUUUUCAGCUUGAUGAAGAAUUAAAUCCUGUGGUUGGAAACUACAGGAAACAAUUUCAACCAGCAUAUAACUCUAUGGUGUUCUUCGAAGUCACAGAAACCUCAUAUCAUGAAGUUCAAGAAAUCCUCAGAGACAAGCAACGCCUGUCUAUUAAUGGUUGGUUUCACAAAGAAGGAAGAAAGAUGGUUAGGGUGAACCAAAAUGAGAAUAUGUUUUUAAGAACUAAAUUGUUUGGAUUUAGUCACCUUCAAGAGGACAUGACCAAGUCGAAUGUCCUGAGCAUAGUGGAGCGAAAGUAUUUGGCCAAAAACACAACAAAACAGGUUUGUAAAGAUUUACAAAAUACCAGGCUUGUUUCACUUCAAGGAUUCUUGGACUCCCAAUUUUAUAAUGCUUGUGCUGAGGAACUCAGCAACUCUAAGUUGGAAUGGCACCUAGAGGGACCACCCAAUCGUAGGAACUAUGAAGUUCUCAGAAUUGAGCAGGAUGAUAAUGAAUCAGUUUAUAUUGAAGGCCUAAGUCACUUGUCAGCUCUUAACAGGCUGAUAAACUUCUUGAUGUCAGACUACUGGUUGCGAUAUUUAGACAGAAUCACAAAAAAGGAUUUCAUUGUGUUGAAAGAUGAUCAUAUUCCUCCUACAUGCAUGGUUGAAGUCCAAAGGUGGAAAGAGGGGAGUUAUUCAGUUUUGGCAGAUAAUGAUUUUCUAAAAACAAAUUCAAGUGUUGAAGUUGUGUUUUUCUUCAAUGCAGAUAACAGAUAUUUUGAAGCCAAUGAGAGCUUGAGCAAAAGCAGUGAAAUAUACGGCCCAAACUUCAAGUAUAGUGGAAAUCUGAUUGUGUCUGUUAGUAAUGAAAUGCCUACGCCUGUACAACACAAACUAAAAAUGAUCAAGCAAACAAGAAUUUUACAAUCAAAGAUAGCUGACAGAAGUAAAAUUUCAAAGAAGGCGGAGAAACAAAUAAGGACAAUUGUAAAUGACAAGAUUAAAAGGAUGAUGGAGUACCGAGAUAAGAACAACUCCGUAAAGGCCUUAGUAUGGCUGAACUACAUACGUCUAGGAAAGGUCCAGAACGUGUUACUGGACACUAUCUUCAUACAAGGCAGUGGCUGAUGUUCAGCCAGAUGUUCAGACUGGUUGAACGCCUCACCUGCUGGUUCUCAGUGUUAAUCUCCAAGCCAUCACCAACAAAAGAGAUUGUGUCCUCUCCGCAGCAACAUCAGCUGAUGCCUUCACUGCAACCAGGAUUUCAUGUUGGCACCUA